rnacentral:tRNA from 1 species
GGAGGCGUGCCCGAAAACAAGGACUACUUUGAUAGAGUAGACUACAGGGGCUAGCCCCCCUCACCUCCC